AGGAGCUGCAGGAACUCAUGCCCUUGGCCUGGAUGUUGCUGGUCACAAUAGGCUCCAUUAACAUUGCCUGCAAACGUUUGGGGUACAUGAGGCAUAAUGUCUUAAGAAGGAACUUGUGCUAUGGAAGCAAAGAACAAAGGGAGACUCAUUCAAAAGGAAGAAACGUUACAUUUGAUUGUGGUCAUGCGGUGGUGACUCCACUUGGCAGUUCCUCUACACUUCAAAAGAAAAUCCAAAGUGACACAAAAGCCCAGGCAAAGAAGUCAUAUCAUUUUCUCACAAAAUAAGAUGCAUAAAUAUCCUCAGGGCCUCAAUUAGAGAGAAGCUACAUUCUCAAAAUAGGAAACAU